ACAUGCUUACAACAUAACGUUAAUGCACCACAUCCCAUUAGAACUACACAGUUUAGCACGCUCAGGGUAGAGUAGUACUGGGAUGGGUGACCACCCGAGAAGUCCUAGUAUUUUACACGCC
rnacentral:rRNA from 1 species